rnacentral:rRNA from 1 species
AGCGCUGGCGGCGUGCUUAACACAUGCAAGUCGAGCGAGAAAGUCGACUUCGGUCGAUGAGUAAAGCGGCGAACGGGUGAGUAACACGUGGAUAACCUGCCUUGGAGUGGGGGAUAACCUGGGGAAACUCGGGCUAAUACCGCAUACGUUCACAGCACUACGGCGCUGUGAAGAAAGCUGGCCAAUUCUUGAAAGCUAGCGCUCUUGGAGGGGUCCGCGUCCGAUUAGCUUGUUGGUGAGGUAACGGCUCACCAAGGCUGCGAUCGGUAGCCGGCCUGAGAGGGUGAUCGGCCACACUGGGACUGAGACACGGCCCAGACUCCUACGGGAGGCAGCAGUGGGGAAUAUUGGACAAUGGGCGCAAGCCUGAUCCAGCAACGCCGCGUGGAGGACGAAGGCCUUCGGGUCGUAAACUCCUGUCAGUUGGGACGAAAAGUCGCCGGUCAAUAUCCGGCGACGCUGACGGUACCAGCAGAGGAAGCCCCGGCUAACUCCGUG